rnacentral:tRNA from 1 species
GAGAGAGGCCUGAGGCACUAGAGACUGCUAAUCUUUACCCCCGCGGUUAAACUCCGCGGCUCACUCG